rnacentral:rRNA from 1 species
AGUGAACGCUGGCGGUAGGCCUAACACAUGCAAGUCGAACGGCAGCACAGUAAGAGCUUGCUCUUACGGGUGGCGAGUGGCGGACGGGUGAGGAAUACAUCGGAAUCUACUUUUUCGUGGGGGAUAACGUAGGGAAACUUACGCUAAUACCGCAUACGACCUACGGGUGAAAGCAGGGGAUCUUCGGACCUUGCGCGAUUGAAUGAGCCGAUGUCGGAUUAGCUAGUUGGCGGGGUAAAGGCCCACCAAGGCGACGAUCCGUAGCUGGUCUGAGAGGAUGAUCAGCCACACUGGAACUGGAACACGGUCCAGACUCCUACGGGAGGCAGCAGUGGGGAAUAUUGGACAAUGGGCGCAAGCCUGCUCCAGCCAUACCGCGUGGGUGAAGAAGGCCUUCGGGUUGUAAAGCCCUUUUGUUGGGAAAGAAAAGCAGCAGGUUAAUACCCCGCUGUUCUGACGGUACCCAAAGAAUAAGCACCGGCUAACUUCGUG